AGAGUUUGAUCAUGGCUCAGAAGGAACGCUGGCAGCGUGCAUAACACAUGCAAGUCGAACGAUGAAGUAUUCUUCGGAAUGCGGAAGAGUGGCGAACGGGUGAGGAACACGUAAGAAUCUGCCCCUCGGUCGGGGACAACUCUUGGAAACGAGAGCUAAUACCCGAUACGCUGUGGAGUGAAAGAAUUUCGCCGAGGGAUGAUCUUGCGUCUGAUUAGCUAGUUGGUGUGGUAAUGGCAUACCAAGGCGACGAUCAGUAGCUGGUCUGAGAGGAUGGACAGCCACAUUGGAACUGAGACACGGUCCAAACUCCUACGGGAGGCAGCAGUGGGGAAUUUUCCGCAAUGGACGCAAGUCUGACGGAGCGACGCUGCGUGAAGGAUGACGGCCCGCGGGUUGUAAACUUCUUUUCUCGAAGAAGAAACAAAUGACGGUAUUCGAGGAAUAAGCAUCGGCUAACUCCGUGCCAGCCGCCGCGGUAAUAC
rnacentral:rRNA from 1 species